UACGUAGGGGGCAAGCGUUGUCCGGAUUCAUUGGGCGUAAAGAGCGUGUAGGCGGCCAGGUAGGUCGGUUGUGAAAACUGGAGGCUCAACCUUCAGAGAUCGACCGAAACCAUCUGGCUAGAGUCCGGGAGAGGAGAGUGGAAUUCCUGGUGUAGCGGUGAAAUGCGCAGAUAUCAGGAGGAACACCGAUUGCGAAGGCAGCUCGCUGGGACGUUACUGACGCUGAGACGCGAAAGCGUGGGGAGCAAACAGG
rnacentral:rRNA from 1 species